UUUCCGUAGGUGAACCUGCGGAAGGAUCAUUAAUGAGUUGUCAUGGGGUUCGAUGCUGGCAGCUAGUUUUUGGAUGCAUGUGCUUGCCCUAACAAUCAUCUUCUUCCAAACACCUGUGCACAUUUUUGAGGGAGUCUUGAGUUGGUUGCCGCUCUUGGGUGAUUUUCUCACAUUCCCUUAAAUCAUUAUACGCUAUUAACAAUGUUGAACGUGCUCUGUGCCGCAAGGCCAUUAAAAUAAUACAACUUUUAACAACGGAUCUCUUGGCUCUC
rnacentral:misc_RNA from 1 species